rnacentral:misc_RNA from 1 species
UUGAUUGGUAAAUAGGUCGUUUGGUUGCAUCUUUUCUACUCUCCUCAGUUGAAUGUGGCAAAGCCCCGCCACUAGCAAGAAAUUGAUUUCUCAUUGCUUCUAAUCUUCGAGCUUCUUCCUUUUGCUUUCCAGUAAGCAAUUUUCCUUCAAGUUUCUUCUUCAAGAGCUUUUCCUUCUCCCUCUCUUUUUUCAAGUGUUUUUUCUCCUCUACAAGUCUUUUUAGUUCCUCCAGUCGAAGGUGUUCUUCUUCUUCCUUCCGUAAUCUUUCCUCUUCUUCCUUCUUCUUGCUUUCUUCAGCUUCCUUCAUUUUUUUAAGUCUCUCUUGUAUCUCCCUAACCUGCUUCGACUGCUUUUUCUCUGCCAAUUUUCCUUUGGUAUCAUUCUUUGUUGCUUCCUG